GCAUGAAUAAUGAUAACAAGAAAGUAGUAAACAUGAAAAUUCUUCUUUUGAUUGUGUUCACCUAGGUCUGGUAAAGCUGCAGGAGUUAGUGACUGGCAAUGCGUUUCCCCACCAAGUUUGUUAAAUAUGUAUGACUUUAAGGAGAUUGCAUUUCUUCAUACUCUGGUUAAUUUAUACUAUCUUGUUCAGGUAUAGGCUUGUGGUUAAUUGGCUCUUAAUUUUGCACACUAAAAAAAAACCAGCAAGUAGUAUUACUCUCUCUAGUAUUUUAACAUAUAUAUAUGGAAAGAACAUGAUUAGAUCAUAUGAUCUCUUGCUUUCGUAUGCAAAUUACUACAAGGAUGAUGAUGAUAUAUUUAGGUAUAAGAAAGCAGUAAGGAUUUAGACUCAUUUAGUGAAUGACGUUACUCAAAUGGUGAAUGACAAUGCUUUUCACGAACUUGGUUAAAUAUUUAUGACUUCAGAGAGAUGGCGUUUCUUCAUACUCUUUAGUUAAUAUAUGUUAUCUCGUUCAGGUAGUUAAGCUUGUGGUCAUUUGCAUCUUAAUUUAGUACACUAAAACAGCAACUUGUGUUUACUCUCUCUAGUUUUAUAACAUAUAUAAAGUGAAAGAACAUGAUUAAAUCAUAUGUUUUCAUGCUUUUCAUAUGUGAAUCACUACAAAGAUGAUUUAUUUAGGUCUAGAAAGCAUCAGGGCUUAGUGAAUGACGUUACUCAAAUGGUAAAUGACAAUGCGUUUCACCAAGUUGUCGUAAUAUAUAUGACUUUAAGGAGAUGGAAUUUUUCAUACUCUCUGGUUAAUUUAUGUUAUCUCGUUCAGGUACAUAAGCUUGUGGUCGACUGUAUCUUAAUUUAGUACACUAAAAAACGAGCAACUAGUGUUACUCUCUCUAGUAUUAUAACAUAUAACAUGAUUAGAUCAUAUGAUCUCUUGCUUUCGUAUGCAAAUCACUACAAGGAUGAUGAUGUAUUUAGGUAUAAGAAAGCAGCAGGCAGGAGGUUAAGUGAAUGACGUUUCUGUUUAUUUACUUGGGGGUCAUAGAUGGUUCUUCUUGGUGAUGACAAUGACACUUGACAAAGUAGUGAGUGACAUGGAUUUCCCUUUGUGAUGUCUUGUUGCAUCAGCUUCCACUUGACUAAAGUGAAUCACGUCUUAAUGUGUAAGCAUAUCUUGUGGGCCUUAUCAUCCAAUGAUUUGUUUUUAUCUUUCCUUGAUUUUUCUCUAUUUCUUUACUACUCUAUGUUGUUCUGCCACACACUAUAGCCUCCCACUUCUUCUUUUGGUGCAAUUAUUUUGUAGCUAACGAUGUGAAGUAUAACAGCCAUUGCCUGAAAGCGAAAGCUUAUUCCUUUAGCUAUGUUGACAUGAUUAUGCAGUUAGAAAGUCUGCUUUUUUUUUCCUUUUCGAUAAUGGGUUAUAAUCCCUGUUUUAAAACUCGCUAGGCGUAACGCGUGCGGUAAGGUAGUGCCUAGCGCCGAAUCAAUUAAUCGGAGAUUACACGCAGAUUAAUCGGCGAUUUGUUUUUGUUCUUUAACAUAUAUUUUUAUGAUUAUGACCAGAAGAUGUUGUAGCAGAGUGGUUUGGACUCACGAAUUAGAAAAAUGCAGCCCGAGUUCGACCCUCGGUGCCAUCAUUUUUAUGAUUUUUUAUAAUUUUUUAUUUAAUGAAGGGUAGAAACGUCAUUUAACAGUCGUCUUCUUCCUUAGGGUUUUUGAUUUUCUGCGACUGUAAAUACGACGGCUGAGUAGUUUUAAUGGUUUUUGAAGCAAUUAUCUUUGUUUUUUUGUUGUUUUCGCUUAAGAUUCAUAGAUCUAACAUAGAUGAUUCGAUUUAUAGACAAAAAUGUGUAAAAACUUGAGUUUUUUCUUUAAAUCCGAUUUUUUCACCGUAUAGGUUCGAUUCGCCACGCUAGGUCACCGUGGAGCGUUUUUCCGGCCGACGAAUCGGCUAGGCGGCCGAGUUUUAGAACAGGGGUUAUAAUUGAUCGCACUCUAAUCUUUGUCCUUGGUUUUGUAACAAACUACCGCUAGAGAACUUGAGAUGACAAUGAGAGCCACGGUCAGUUGCAGGUGACUAGUAAGGUAUAAAGAGUGGACCGAAUGUUUUAAGGAACCCCACAAAGAUACGACAUUCAUCUCCAACAGGAGAGUGGACUUGAAAGUUUAGUCACUUUCGUUUCACUAUUUUGCAAAUGUGUGGCAAAAUAUUUAUUCUUCUGGCUGCAUCUUUUUACCUCAACUUCACUCGAUGCAGUGCCAUGUAUGCCAUGAGUCGAUAACCCACCAGCAUAACUCCCAUAACAAGUACGUCUAUCCAUAAAUUGUUCAGUCCCAUGGCUUUGAUUCCUGGGAAGUCUCCAACUCUGCACCAUACCCCUUCUGAGCACUCGUAGUAAUCCUCAUCACUGUAUUGAAUACCCAAAAGCAGCUUGUAGCAGUAGUAGCUAUAGCUUAGGUACUUGAGCCAUACGAUGAAAGGAGGGAUUUGCUGAACGUAAUACCCUCCAGCUAUGAGAAACACAAGUGUAGUAACAGAUGCCAAUGUUGUGGCUUGCUUGAUGUUCAUAAGGAGAGCACCGAACGCUAAGCCAAGACCUUGAGCAACAAGGACGGAAUAGAGAACCACCAGUAGUGAGAGGAUAAAUGUAGUGGGGUCAGGUUUGAGCCCACCCAUCCAGUAAAUUAUGAACACAAAAGCAGUUGGAAGGGCGAGUUCCAAGGGCAGGUCUCCAAUGUUUCUAGCCAUGAAAUAGGAGGAAAGACGGUACAUUCCGGAAGACCGCUCCUUGAUUAGCAUUCUCUUCUCUUGGGGAAAUGUGAAAACCGCGUUGUAUAGUGGGUAGAACCCCCAAAAGAC